rnacentral:rRNA from 1 species
CCUACGGGAGGCAGCAGUGGGGAAUAUUGGACAAUGGGCGCAAGCCUGAUCCAGCAAUGCCGCGUGAGUGAUGAAGGCCUUAGAGUUGUAAAGCUCUUUCGCACGCGACGAUGAUGACGGUAGCGUGAGAAGAAGCCCCGGCUAACUUCGUGCCAGCAGCCGCGGUAAUACGAAGGGGGCUAGCGUUGUUCGGAAUUACUGGGCGUAAAGGGCGCGUAGGCGGCCUGUUUAGUCAGAAGUGAAAGCCCCGGGCUCAACCUGGGAAUAGCUUUUGAUACUGGCAGGCUUGAGUUCCGGAGAGGAUGGUGGAAUUCCCAGUGUAGAGGUGAAAUUCGUAGAUAUUGGGAAGAACACCGGUGGCGAAGGCGGCCAUCUGGACGGACACUGACGCUGAGGCGCGAAAGCGUGGGGAGCAAACAGGAUUAGAUACCCUGGUAGUCCACGCCGUAAACGAUAGAAUGNUAGACGUCGGGUGGCGAUGCACUUCGGUGUCGCCGCUACGCAUAGACAUCCGCCGUGGGAGGACGGCCGCGAAGGUUAAACGUACGUAAGUAGUAGUUAGACGUGUUGAGAGCGACGACGACGACGACGGAGGAGG